rnacentral:ncRNA from 2 species
CGUUCAUAGCGACGUUGC